AUUAAUUGUUGUGGUAAUUUUUAAUAGACAUAUAUAUAUUUAUUUAUGAUGAAUUAAUUAAUUAACUAUAGAAAAUAGUAUUGUGAGAGAUUUUUGAAAAAUUGAAAAAUUUUUUGUAAAUAAGUUAUUGUUUGUACCUUUUGUAUCAGGGAUUAAUUAUAAAAAUUAUAAAUUUAUAUUUCCCGAAAAAUUUUGAGCUAUUUUAUUUAUUAAAUAUUGUUUCAGAAAUAUUGGUUAAAUAAUAUAGAAAUGAAAUUUUAUUCGAAAAGUUUGAUAUCUGGUUAUAUAAUUAAAAUUAAAUAUUUUUAGAUAUUUUUUGUUUUUUGUUAAAAGUAUCGAUUUUCUUUUUAAGGAUAAGCUUAAUAAGGUUAUAUAAAUUUUUAAAAAUUUAAUUGGAGGUUUAAAAAUUACUACUUAUUUGUAAUAAAAUAGUUAGAUGAUGGGAUUUUUUUAUAAAUAAUUUUUUAUAAUUAAUUUUUGUUAGAAGAAUUUAUAUUAAUAUUAGUAUAAAUUUUGAAAUUGUUUUUAUUUUUGAUUAUAUUUAUGAGAUUUUAGAAAUUAAAUAUCUAGGAAUUAGGCAAAAAUUAUUUUUGAAUGUUUAACAAAAACAUUGUAUUUUGUUGGUAAUAAAAUAUAUAACCUGCUCAAUGAUAAUUAAAUUGCUGUGGUAUUUUGACUAUACGAAGGUAUUGAAAUAAGAUUUUAAUUGAGUGCUAAGAGAAUGGUUAAACAAAGAAAGACUUUCUUGAUAUUUAUAAUAAAAGUUGAUUUAAAAAUGAAAAAGUUUUUAUGAAAAUUUGGGACAAGAAGACCCUAUGAAUUUUUUUAUUAAAAAUUAAUUUUUUAAUUUUUAAUUUAUAUAAAUUGAGUUAAUUUUUAGUUUGGUUGGGGCGAUUUUUAAAGAUUGAGAAUCUUUAAAUUAAGAUGUAAUUAGAACCAAUAUUUUUGGUUGUAUGAUUAAAAUACUCUAGGGAUAACAGCGUUAUUAUUUUGAAUAGUUCAUAUUGAUAAAAUAGUUUGCGACCUCGAUGUUGGAUUAAGAUUCUUAUAUAAUGAAGAAGUUAUAUUAAGAAGUUUGCUCAACUUUUAAAAUCUUACAUGAUCUGAGUUCAAACCGGCGUAAGCCAGGUUGGUUUCUAUCUAAAUUUUAAAUUAUAAUUAUUUUAGUACGAAAGGAAUUAAUAAUUCAAAUGGUUUGAAUAAUUUUUUUUAUUAUU
rnacentral:rRNA from 1 species